UUUUUUUAAUGACUAUAGGCCGCGGUUGGUUGUGAAACCACGACAUAUAACCAUAAUAUACCGCGGUUAAGUAUUUAACCGCGGUAGAUUCCCCUAUAACAGUUAAAAAAUAAAACUUUGGAACAAUAUCGUCUUCUUCGCGCAGACGCUGCUGUCUUCGACUUUCUUCUCCCGCCGAUCACCCCUCUCAGUUCCCUCGUUUCUUCACCGUUUAAACUCAAAAUUGUUCGGUCAUUUCACAUUUUUGACGAUAAGAAACAGUUUGAGCCGAUCAAAAUCGUUUGAAACACUUGUCAUUGCUCUCCGCNN
rnacentral:lncRNA from 1 species